UACGGGGGGGGUAAGCGUUGUUCGGAAUUACUGGGCGUAAAGGGCUCGUAGGCGGCCAACUAAGUCAUACGUGAAAUCCCUCAGCUUAACUGGGGAACUGCGUGUGAUACUGGAUGGCUUGGAUUUGGGAGAGGGAUGCGGAAUUCCAGGUGUAGCGGUGAAAUGCGUAGAUAUCUGGAGGAACACCGGUGGCGAAGGCGGCAUCCUGGACCAAUAUUGACGCU
rnacentral:rRNA from 1 species